UACGUAGGCAGCAAGCGUUGUUCGGAGUUACUGGGCGUAAAGGGUGCGUAGGUGGCUCUAUAAGUAUGGUGUGAAAUCUCCCGGCUUAACUGGGAGGGUGCGCCGUAGACUGUGGGGCUAGAGUGUGGGAGAGGAAAGUGGAAUUCCUGGUGUAGCGGUGAAAUGCGUAGAUAUCAGGAGGAACACCGGUGGUGUAAACGGCUUUCUGGACCGAUAACUGACAC
rnacentral:rRNA from 1 species